GUUGGUGUAAUAAACUAAUAACUGCGGUUUAACUGCAACUUUUACAUGCCUUCAAGAAUCUAAAAUGCUAGAUUUCAAACUGCAGCAGUAGUCGGCUCUGUCAAAAAUGAACUCCAUUGCGCACCUCGUACAUGAAAAUAAGUUCACGCCUUUUAGUAAGCUUAGAUGCAGGCCGCAGUGAACUUUCUUGUUAGUAUUGAAAUGUGGGUAAGCUUGCCAUAACAAGCCUUGUUGCCCUUUUUUAUAGGCACAUCCAUAUAUCCAUUGAACUGAAAAACAAUAUUUUCAUCCCUACUGAGCAUCAUGUUUGCAGCUAUAAUCCUCAAAUUAUGGCUUCAGCAGUGGCACAACCAGGGAUGGUGCGGGGGGCACACUGGGCACGUGCUUAGGAUGUGUCACAAGUAGUGUUUGUGAUACACCAGACUCAUGACAGACCUAUGAUGUCUGAAAAUGACCAAUAUUCUAUUCAUUAGCAGGAGUAUUCUAACAUUCGUGCUGAACGAGGAUGAACUGUCCGUUAUUUCUUUUUUGUGUAAAUCUAAAAUUGAAGUUAAUUUAGCAGUUGACUGUUGCAGUCAUUUGGAUGUUUUGCAUGCAUUUCACUAAGAAGACUAAGAGCUAAGACUUUCUUUUAUUGCCAUGGCCUUGACUGUCUUGAUGUUGUUUUGCACCAUGCCCUUGUGUUGACUUUUGCAUACGAUAUUUUUCAGGCACCCGCUUUAUAGAACACAAGAAGGCAGCUGCAAGGACACGAGGAUGUGAAAGAGCCAGUGCAGCGUGACUUCACGUAGUGCAGAGGAGCCAAUGCCAAAAAAUCUAAAUACAUUGGCAUGCAAUUUGGACAAGAAAACUAGUAUGGACAACCCAGGACGUGCAUUUCUCAGCACCCCGUCAACUGCCAGAAGUGACUCGAACACAGGCCACCAGUGGCACUCGGCUGUACCACUGCAGUGCUGCGGAAAUUGCCAACACCAGCGGCUUUGCAACAGCUGUUUCACAGCAUGUCGGAGACAAUGCCUACGAAAUUAUUGGCCCUGAUGACGAGAGCCCUCAAGGGGCAAACGACAUCUCUGUUGCAGAAGUGAGCCCGAUACCACCUGAAGUUACCAUGACAGGUGGCACGGCAGCAAUAGAUACAGAGACGGCCAUGUCUACUGCAGCUGCAACAGUGUACGAGGCAAGCAGCAGUGUGUCAGCAUCAGCAGCAGUGUCAGAAGGAACCGCACCAGGCCUGGUAGAGCAACGUGUGUUAUCACUGUGACUUUUUUGUAGUGCAUACAACUCAUUUGCUCAACAUACAAAAGCUUUUCACCACGACUGUGAGCCAGUGUUCUUGUGCAGCAAGUGCAAGACUAAGUUAAGUGUUAUAACACAGUACAAGCAUCACUUUAAGAUAUGCAAACAUAUUACAGUUGCCUCCCCAGCCAGCUCACAUAGCGACAACAAUGUGGAACACAUGGUGGGACACACCUCUUCCCCAUUAGAAGAUGGUAGAGACUGUCAGUGUUGUUGCUAGAUUAACUGGUCUUUGUAGGCAACUAGAAGGACAACACAGGUGUCAUAAGAUUGUUGUUUAUGUUGUUGUUCAAGAGGUAAAAUAGAAGUUUGAUGCAGCUGAAGUGCCAACUGAUAUUGAGCAAAUCAAAAAGAACCACCUGAGAAAGCAACACUAUCGAAAUUUGGGUAUCUAUGUGCCGCCAACUCUGGUAAGGAUGGCAUAGGACAGAAGUGUGAUGAAAAUCACACAGACACUGCUGUUCCAGCACUGGUCACAGUGAGCAGUGACUUGUAGGGCAAGAGAGUCAACUGAAACGAACAUUAUGGCAUAGCGUCAUGCUCCCAUGUGACCACUUUCCAUGUUAUUUUGCAUGAUACAGCUCAACCUUCAGAAACGAGACUGCAACUUGUCUGUAAAAAGCUUUCACAAAAAAUUAUUCAUAACACUAUUAACACAGCAGUAUCUUCUUUUCUUUGUGGGUUCGAGGUUCCCGGGUGUCCAUUAAUGCAAAACAUGUGGAAAAAAAGAACAUGUGUCGUACUUGCACCUUUUUAACAAGUACGAGGGGGACAGAACUUUUCUAGUCAUGCAUCUUCAUCAUACUAUCAAGUUUUUAAAUGCCUUUUAUAAUUAUUAUUACCAGUUAUACCUGAGUGCAUUGUAUGCAUUUAGCAGGCGUAAAAUCAGGUCAGUUGGAUCAGAUGCCUUAUCUGCAAGGGAGCCCUAUAUUCAAGAAAUGUGAAUUAAAAUAGGUACGUUAGAGACGCAGUCUUUCAGCACUUUAUUGCAUGUGGUUUAAGCAUUGCUCAAUACUUUUGUGGAUGGCAGUUUCAACCGGCACAGCACUGCGAUUUGUCACGGUCAUGUGUCUUCAAAGCGGUGUUUACCAUUUGUGUUGAUCUGUUUGUGUGUUCAUAGAGCAAGUUUUUAAUUUAUUUUUUUCCGCAUUCUUGUGCUUGCACUAAGCUUGUAUAAGGCAGUUACAAAAUGGGCGUCACUGUAACGAACUGUGCUGUUGAGCUUACACUUGCAAAUAAUAGUGUUCAGAUGGCCGCACUUCUGUGUAGGUGCACCGAUAGCUUUGUGUAUGUUCUCAUGUUUGUAUAAAGCUUAUAUAAGCUAGUUACAAAAUGUAUGUCACUAAGCAUUGUGAUAUUCUUUAAAGAACUGCUUGGUUGGUUUUACACUUGCAAAUUAGUAUUGAGGAGGUGGUAUUUCCAUGUAGGCCCACUGCUAGCUUUCUGUGUGCUCACGUGUUUGUAUUAAGCUUUUACAAGGGAGUUACAGCAUGUACGUCACUAAGUGCUGUGAUAUUUUUAAAGAACUGCUUUGUUGGUUUUACACCUGUGAGUAAUAGUACUCGGGUGGCACUAGUCAUGUGUAGGUACACAGGGACCAUUUGUAUACAUUAUGCUCAUGUAAAGCAGUUACAAAGUGUAUGUCACUAAUCACUGUGAUAUUUGUUGAAGAAUUGCUGUGAUGGUUUUACACAUGUGAAUAAUAGUGGUCAGGACACAGUACUUGCGAUGUAUAGUUGAAUUUAUACAGUGCCAAGACAUGGGCUGUAUACGUACCAAAAGAAAUGUAUGUCAUUAUAUUGUUGUGAUCAUUACUGUUUGGAUUUUAUUAAACUCUAAUAACGUUUUUUCUUGUA